rnacentral:tRNA from 1 species
GGGGACGUAGAUCAAUUGGUUAGAUCGCUAGCUUGUCACGCUAGAGGUUGCGGGUUCGAGUCCCGUCGUCCUCGCUA